GCGAGAAAGGGGGCUUCGGUCCCUGAGUAGAGCGGCGCACGGGUGAGUAACGCGUGGAUAAUCUCCCUCAUUGUUUGGGAUAACGGCGGGAAACUGCCGCUAAUACCGGAUACGCUCCAAUUUCGGUUGGGGGAAAGGCGGCCUCUGCUUGCAAGCUGUCGCAAUGAGAUGAGUCCGCGUCCCAUUAGCUUGUUGGUGGGGUAAUGGCCCACCAAGGCAACGAUGGGUAGCUGGUCUGAGAGGAUGAUCAGCCACACUGGAACUGAAACACGGUCCAGACUCCUACGGGAGGCAGCAGUGGGGAAUAUUGCGCAAUGGGGGAAACCCUGACGCAGCGACGCCGUGUGAGGGAAGAAGGCUUUCGGGUCGUAAACCUCUGUCGGGAAGGAAGAACCUCUCAAGGCUGAACAAGCCUUGGGACUGACGGUACUUCCAAAGGAAGCACCGGCUAACUCCGUGCCAGCAGCCGCGGUAAUACGGAGGGUGCAAGCGUUAAUCGGAAUCACUGGGCGUAAAGCGCGCGUAGGCCGUCUUUUAAGUCGGACGUGAAAGCCCUCGGCUCAACCGGGGAACUGCGUUCGAAACUGGGAGACUUGAGUCCUGGAGAGGGUGGCGGAAUUCCGGGUG
rnacentral:rRNA from 1 species